rnacentral:rRNA from 1 species
GAGUUUGAUCCUGGCUCAGAACGAACGCUGGCGGCGUGCCUAACACAUGCAAGUCGAACGGAUUUGAGGAGCUUGCUUCUCAAGUUAGUGGCGCACGGGUGAGUAACGCGUAGAUAAUCUGCCUGAUGAUCUGGGAUAACACUCCGAAAGGGGUGCUAAUACCGCAUAUGCCCCGGGGGGGAAAGGGGGGGAUCGCAAGACCUCUCGCUUUCGGAGUGGCCGAUGUCGGAUUAGCUAGUUGGUGGGGUAAAGGCUCACCAAGGCGACGAUCCGUAGCGGGUCUGARAGGAUGAUCCGCCACACUGGGACUGAGACACGGCCCAGACUCCUACGGGAGGCAGCAGUGGGGAAUUUUGCGCAAUGGGGGAAACCCUGACGCAGCAACGCCGCGUGAGUGAUGAAGGCUUUCGGGUCGUAAAGCUCCGUCAGAGGGGAAGAAAUGGAAACGGUUAAUACCCGUUUUUCUUGACGGUACCCUCAAAGGAAGCACCGGCUAACUCCGUGCCAGCAGCCGCGGUAAUAC